rnacentral:rRNA from 1 species
UACGAAGGGGGCUAGCGUGGCUCGGAAUUACUGGGCGUAAAGGGUGCGUAGGCGGUCGGGUAAGUCUGACGUGAAAUCUCCGGGCCUAACCCGGAAACUGCGUUGGAAACUGCCUGGCUAGAGGAAUGGAGGGGAGACUGGAAUACUUGGUGUAGCAGUGAAAUGCGUAGAUAUCAAGUGGAACACCAGUGGCGAAGGCGAGUCUCUGGACAUUUCCUGACGCUGAGGCACGAAGGCCAGGGGAGCAAACGGG